GACGAACGCUGGCGGCGUGCCUAACACAUGCAAGUCGAGCGGAUCGUUCCUUCGGGAACGGUUAGCGGCGGACGGGGGAGUAACACGUAUGCAACCUGCCUGCAAGCCCGGGAUAACUAACGGAAACGUUAGCUAAUACCGGAUACUAGGUCUGACCGCAUGAUCGGAUCGGGAAUGCGGGUUUUGGCCCUCCCUUGCCGAUUGCCCUGCGGCGCAUUAGCUAGUUGGGGGGGUAACGGCUCACCAAGGCGACGAUGCGUAGCCGAACUGAGAUGGUGAUCGGCCACACUGGGACUGAGACACGGCCCAGACUCCUACGGGAGGCAGCAGUAGGGAAUCUUCCGCAAUGGACGAAAGUCUGACGGAGCAACGCCGCGUGAGUGAUGAAGGUCCUCGGAUCGUAAAGCUCUGUUGCCAGGGAAGAACGGCUUGGGGAGUAACUGCCCUUGGCAUGACGGUACCUGAGAAGAAAGCCCCGGCUAACUACGUGCCAGCCGCCGCUGUAACAC
rnacentral:rRNA from 1 species